UACGAAGGGUGCAAGCGUUACUCGGAAUUACUGGGCGUAAAGGGUGCGUAGGUGGUUUGUUAAGUCUGCUGUGAAAUCCCCGGGCUCAACCUGGGAAUGGCAGUGGAUACUGGCAAGCUAGAGUGCGGUAGAGGGUAGUGGAAUUCCCGGUGUAGCAGUGAAAUGCGUAGAGAUCGGGAGGAACACCAGUGGCGAAGGCGGCUACCUGGACCGCAACUGACGCUGAGACGCGAAAGCGUGGGGAGCAAACAGG
rnacentral:rRNA from 1 species